rnacentral:rRNA from 1 species
CCCGUCAGGGGUUACUGAAUCCAGAUAAACUCCGAAUGCCAGAUAUCAAUGCACGGGAGUCAGACUGCGAGUGAUAAGAUCCGUAGUCGAAAGGGAAACAGCCCAGACCACCAGCUAAGGUCCCAAAAUAAUUGUUAAGUGGAAAAGGAUGUGGGGUUGCACAGACAACUAGGAUGUUAGCUUAGAAGCAGCUAUUCAUUCAAAGAGUGCGUAAUAGCUCACUAGUCGAGUGACGCUGCGCCGAAAAUUUACCGGGGCUAAGCAUAGUACCGAAACUGUGGAUGUGCGAAAGCACGUGGUAGGAGAGCGUUCUAAGUGCGGUGAAGUCUAAUCGAGAGGAUAGAUGGAGCGCUUAGAAGUGAGAAUGCCGGUAUGAGUAGCGAAAGAUAGGUGAGAAUCCUAUCCGCCGAAAGACUAAGGUUUCCUGGGGCAGGCUCGUCCGCCCAGGGUAAGUCGGGACCUAAGGUAAGGCCGAGAGGCGUAGCCGAUGGACAACAGGUUGAGAUUCCUGUACUAAUAUUAAUCGUUAAGAGCAAUGGAGGGACGCAGUAGGCUAAUGGCGCAUGUAACUGGAAUCAUGUGUAAGCGUCAAGGCUUGAAGUGAGUCAAAUGCUUGCUUCUAAAAGGCUGAGGCGUGAUGCGGAGCGAAAUAAAGUAGCGAAGGUCAUGAUGUCACACUGCCGAGAAAAGCUUCUAGCCAGAGAGAUAUUACCCGUACCGCAAACCGACACAGGUAGUCGAGGAGAGAAUCCUCAGGUGAGCGAGAGAACUCUCGUUAAGGAACUCGGCAAAAUGACCCCGUAACUUCGGGAGAAGGGGUGCUCUUUAGGGUUCACGCCCAGAAGAGCCGCAGUGAAUAGGCCCAAGCGACUGUUUAUCAAAAACACAGGUCUCUGCUAAACCGUAAGGUGAUGUAUAGGGGCUGACGCCUGCCCGGUGCUGGAAGGUUAAGAGGAGUAGUUAGCUUCUGCGAAGCUACGAAUCGAAGCCCCAGUAAACGGCGGCCGUAACAAUAACGGUCCUAAGGUAGCGAAAUUCCUUGUCGGGUAAGUUCCGACCUGCACGAAUGGCGUAACGACUUCCCCGCUGUCUCCAG